CCAUUUCAAUAGCAUGGUGAUGAGGCUGUGGAUAAUUAACAACAACAACGAACGUGGAGACUCUACUAAAUGUGGUUCUUUGUGCAAGAAAUCACUCACUGGCAAAUAGAAAAAACAAAACAAAACAAAAACACCUUGAGAACCAGGGUGUGGCUCAAUAGACCUGUACACAAAAAUCACUGUGUGUUUCAUUAAUGGUGAUAUCAUCUACCACGAAUGAAGGAGACGGUGAUCAUCUAUGCUUACACAAUCAAUCAGCAAGUCUAUACUGAGACCUUGAUGUGCAGGACACUGGUUUGCCUCUGUUUCUAAAAAUUAGAUGCUUCAUAAAAAAAAAAAAAAAACAACAAACCAUUCACAGUGACUAAGAAAGUUCGUUUUCUUUAACAUAAAAAAUGCCGAAUGAAAAUUUCAGACUUUGUUGAAAAAUGAUAGAACUGGGAACUUUUCAGACAGUGAGUGUGGGUGUUAAGUGGGUUUUCAAUGGUAUUUGAUUCAUCAGA